GACGAACGCUGGCGGCGCGCCUAACACAUGCAAGUCGAACGAGCGAGAGAGAGCUUGCUGUCUUGAGCGAGUGGCGAACGGGUGAGUAACGCGUGAGGAACCUGCCUCAAAGAGGGGGACAACAGUUGGAAACGACUGCUAAUACCGCAUAAGCCCACGACCCGGCAUCGGGUUGAGGGAAAAGGAGCAUUCCGCUUUGAGAUGGCCUCGCGUCCGAUUAGCUAGUUGGUGAGGUAACGGCCCACCAAGGCGGCGAUCGGGAGCCGGACUGAGAGGUUGAACGGCCGCAUUGAGACUGAGACCCGGCCCAGACUCCUGCGGGAGGCAGCAGUGGGGACUAUUGCGCAGUGGGGGAAACCCUGAUGCGGCGUCGCCGCGUGGAGGGAGAAGGUCUUCGGAUUGUAAUCUCCUGUUGUUGAAGAAGAUAGUGACGGUACUCAACAAGGAAGUGACGGCUAACUACGU
rnacentral:rRNA from 1 species